GCGGCCAUAGCUCAAUUGGAUAGAGCAUCAGUCUACGGAACUGAGGGUUGGCGGUUCAAAUCCGUCUGGCCGCA
rnacentral:tRNA from 2 species